CCCAGACUCCUACGGGAGGCAGCAGUGGGGGAUAUUGCACAAUGGGGGGAACCCUGAUGCAGCGACGCCGCGUGGGUGAAGGAGCGCCUCGGUGCGUAAAGCCCUAUCGGCAGGGAAGAAACAGACGGUACCUGACUAAGAAGCCCCGGCUAACUACGUGCCAGCAGCCGCGGUAAUACGUAGGGGGCAAGCGUUAUCCGGAUUCACUGGGUGUAAAGGGAGCGUAGACGGCGACGCAAGUCUGGAGUGAAAGCCCGGGGCCCAACCCCGGGACUGCUCUGGAAACUGCGGCGCUGGAGUACGGGAGGGGCAGGCGGAAUUCCUGGUGUAGCGGUGAAAUGCGUAGAUAUCAGGAGGAACACCGGCGGCGAAGGCGGCCUGCUGGACCGUGACUGACGUUGAGGCUCGAGAGCGUGGGGAGCAAACAGGAUUAGAUACCCGAGUAA
rnacentral:rRNA from 1 species